rnacentral:rRNA from 1 species
AAUCUCGGGAAACUGAGGAUAAUACUCCAUAGGUGUGGUAUGCUGGAAUGCUUCUACGCUAAAAGCCCCGGCGCUCCAGGAUGAGUCUGCGGCCUAUCAGGCUGUAGUGGGUGUAACGGACCCACUAACCUACGACGGGUAGGGGCGUUGAGAGACGGAGCCCCCAGAUGGAUUCUGAGACACGAAUCCAGGCCCUACGGGGCGCAGCAGCUACGAAAACUGCCCGAUGUGGGAAACCACGAGGCGGGCAUUCCGAGUGCCAAGGCUUUGCUUUGGCUGUUCUUUCGCCUAAAAAGCGAGAGAAGUAAGGGCCGGGUAAGACGGGUGCCAGCCGCCGCGGUAAUACCCGCGGCCCGAGUGGUGCUCAUUAUUAUUGAGCUUAAAGCGUCCGUAGCCGGCCUCGUAAAUCUUUGGGUAAAUCGGGCAGCUCAACUGUUCGAAUUCCGAGGAGACUGCGAGGCUCGGGACCGGGAGAGGUUCGAGGUACUCUCGGGGUAGGGGUAAAAUCCUGUAAUCCUGAGAGGACCACCAGUGGCGAAGGCGUCGAACUAGAACGGAUCCGACGGUGAGGGACGAAGCCCUGGGGCGCAAACGGGAUUAGAUACCCCGGUAGUCCAGGGUGUAAACGCUGCGGGCUUGGUGUCGGAGGUCCUACGUGGGCGUCCGGUGCCGGAGAGAAAAUUGUUAAGCCUGCCGCUUGGGGAGUACGGUCGCAAGACUGAAACUUAAA